rnacentral:sRNA from 1 species
AGAAGUUCUUUGACAGU